UACGUAGGGGGCAAGCGUUGUCCGGAAUCAUUGGGCGUAAAGCGCGUGUAGGCGGCUCGGUAAGUCUGCUGUGAAAGUCCAGGGCUCAACCCUGGGAUGCCGGUGGAUACUGUUGAGCUCGAGUCCGGAAGAGGCGAGUGGAAUUCCUGGUGUAGCGGUGAAAUGCGUAGAUAUUGGGAGGAACACCAGUGGCGAAGGCGGCUCACUGGACCGGUUCUGACGCUGAGGCGCGAAAGCGUGGGGAGCAAACGGG
rnacentral:rRNA from 1 species